GCAGUUCGCUGGGGGUGCCGAGAGGCUGAGAUUAUACCCUUCGAACCUGAUCCGGUUAGCGCCGGCGUAGGGAAGCGAAUCCCGUCAUCG
rnacentral:ncRNA from 2 species